AGUGGGUGUAGCGUACCUACUAGCCUACGACGGGUACGGGUUGUGAGAGCAAGAGCCCGGAGAUGGAUUCUGAGACACGAAUCCAGGCCCUACGGGGUGCAGCAGGCGCGAAAACUUUACAAUGCUGGCAACAGCGAUAAGGGAACCUCGAGUGCCAGGUUACAAAUCUGGCUGUCGAGAUGCCUAAAAAGCAUUUCAUAGCAAGGGCCGGGCAAGACCGGUGCCAGCCGCCGCGGUAACACCGGCGGCUCGAGUGGUAACCGUUAUUAUUGGGUCUAAAGGGUCUGUAGCCGGCCGGAUAAGUCUCUUGAGAAAUCUGGCAGCUUAACUGUCAGGCUUUCAGGAGAUACUGUCUGGCUCGAGGCCGGGAGAGGUGAGAGGUACUUCAGGGGUAGGGGUGAAAUCUUGUAAUCCUUGAAGGACCACCAGUGGCGAAGGCGUCUCACCAGAACGGGUCCGACGGUAAGGGACGAAAGCUAGGGGCACGAACCGGAUUAGAU
rnacentral:rRNA from 1 species